rnacentral:rRNA from 1 species
CCUACGGGUGGCAGCAGUGAGGAAUAUUGGUCAAUGGGCGGAAGCCUGAACCAGCCAAGUCGCGUGAGGGAAGACGGUCCUAUGGAUUGUAAACCUCUUUUGCAGGGGAGCAAGGCGCGGUACGUGUACCGCGAAGGAGAGUACCCUGAGAAAAAGCAUCGGCUAACUCCGUGCCAGCAGCCGCGGUAAUACGGAGGAUGCGAGCGUUAUCCGGAUUUAUUGGGUUUAAAGGGUGCGCAGGCGGACUGUUAAGUCAGCGGUAAAAUGUCGGUGCUCAACACCGGCCGGCCGUCGAAACUGGCAGCCUUGAGUGAGCGAGAAGUAUGCGGAAUGCGUGGUGUAGCGGUGAAAUGCAUAGAUAUCACGCAGAACUCCGAUUGCGAAGGCAGCAUACCGGCGCUCAACUGACGCUCAGGCACGAAAGCGCGGGUAUCGAACAGGCUUAGAUACCCUGGUAGUC